rnacentral:rRNA from 1 species
UGCAACGAGCGCAACCCUCGCCCUUAGUUGCCAUCAUUCAGUUGGGCACUUUAAGGGGGACUGCCGGUGAUAAGCCGCGAGGAAGGUGGGGAUGACGUCAAGUCCUCAUGGCCCUUACAGGUUGGGCUACACACGUGCUACAAUGGCGGUGACAGUGGGACGCAAUGGAGCAAUCCUGCGCAAAUCUCAAAAAGCCGUCUCAGUUCGGAUUGCACUCUGCAACUCGAGUGCAUGAAGUUGGAAUCGCUAGUAAUCGCAGAUCAGCACGCUGCGGUGAAUACGUUCCCGGGCCUUGUACACACCGCCCGUCACACCAUGGGAGUUGGUUUUACCUGAAGGCGGUGCGCUAACCCGCAAGGGAGGCAGCCGACCACGGUAGGAUCAGCGACUGGGGUGAAGUCGUAACAAGGUAACCGUA